rnacentral:rRNA from 1 species
GAUGAACGCUGGCGGCGUGCCUAAUACAUGCAAGUCGAACGAGGUGCUUUUGUAGCAAUACGAAAGUAUCCUAGUGGCGAACGGGUGAGUAACACGUUGGUGACCUGCCCCGAAGUGUGGGAUAACAGUCCGAAAGGACUGCUAAUACCGCAUGUGGUCAUGGGUUUUAGAAACCUGUGUCUAAAGCAGCAAUGCGCUUUGGGAGGGGCCUGCGUCCCAUCAGCUAGUUGGUAGGGUAACGGCCUACCAAGGCUACGACGGGUAGGGGACCUUAGAGGGUGGCCCCCCACAAUGGAACUGAAACACGGUCCAUACACCUACGGGUGGCAGCAGUAGGGAAUAUUGCACAAUGGGCGAAAGCCUGAUGCAGCAACGCCGCGUGUGCGAAGAAGGCCUUCGGGUCGUAAAGCACUUUUCUGAGAGAUGAGAAAGGACAGUAUCUCAGGAAUAAGUCUCGGCUAACUACGUGCCAGCCGCCGCCGUAA